CCUACGCGCGGCAGCAGUGGGGAAUAUUGGACAAUGGGCGAAAGCCUGAUCCAGCCAUGCCGCGUGUGUGAAGAAGGCCUUCGGGUUGUAAAGCACUUUCAGUGGGGAAGAAAGCCUUGGGGCUAAUACCCUCGAGGAAGGACAUCACCCACAGAAGAAGCACCGGCUAACUCCGUGCCAGCAGCCGCGGUAAUACGGAGGGUGCGAGCGUUAAUCGGAAUUACUGGGCGUAAAGCGCGCGUAGGCGGUCUGAUAAGCCGGUUGUGAAAGCCCCGGGCUCAACCUGGGAACGGCAUCCGGAACCGUCAGGCUAGAGUGCAGGAGAGGAAGGUAGAAUUCCCGGUGUAGCGGUGAAAUGCGUAGAGAUCGGGAGGAAUACCAGUGGCGAAGGCGGCCUUCUGGACUGACACUGACGCUGAGGUGCGAAAGCGUGGGUAGCAAACAGGAUUAGAUACCCCAGUAGUC
rnacentral:rRNA from 1 species